rfam:TPA: Bos taurus chromosome 14, whole genome shotgun sequence.
UCCCUGAUAGCUCAGUUGUUAAAGAAUCUGCCUGCAAUGCAGGAGACCCCGGUUGGAUCUCUGGGUCAGGAAG